rnacentral:rRNA from 1 species
UGGGGAAUUUUGGACAAUGGGCGAAAGCCUGAUCCAGCAAUGCCGCGUGUGUGAAGAAGGCCUUCGGGUUGUAAAGCACUUUUGUCCGGAAAGAAAAUCCUUGGCUCUAAUACAGUCGGGGGAUGACGGUACCGGAAGAAUAAGCACCGGCUAACUACGUGCCAGCAGCCGCGGUAAUACGUAGGGUGCAAGCGUUAAUCGGAAUUACUGGGCGUAAAGCGUGCGCAGGCGGUUUGCUAAGACCGAUGUGAAAUCCCCGGGCUCAACCUGGGAACUGCAUUGGUGACUGGCAGGCUAGAGUAUGGCAGAGGGGGGUUAGAAUUGCCACGUGGUAGCAGUCGAAAGUGCGUAGAGAUGUGGAGGAAUACCGAUGGCGAAGGCAGCCCCCUGGGCCAAUACUGAGCUCAUGCACGAAAGCGUGGGGAGCAAAACAGGAUUAGAUACCCUGGUAGUCCACGCCCUAAACGAUGUCAACUAGUUGUUGGGGAUUC